GACGAACGCUGGCGGCGUGCCUAAUACAUGCAAGUCGAACGCUUCUUUUUCACCGAACUUCGGUUCAUCGAAAAAGAGGAGUGGCGAACGGGUGAGUAACACGUGGGUAACCUGCCCAUCAGAAGGGGAUAACACUUGGAAACAGGUGCUAAUACCGUAUAAUGCUUUUUCUCGCAUGAGAGCAAGCUGAAAGGCGCUUUUGCGUCACUGAUGGAUGGACCCGCGGUGCAUUAGCUAGUUGGUGAGGUAACGGCUCACCAAGGCCACGAUGCAUAGCCGACCUGAGAGGGUGAUCGGCCACACUGGGACUGAGACACGGCCCAGACUCCUACGGGAGGCAGCAGUAGGGAAUCUUCGGCAAUGGACGAAAGUCUGACCGAGCAACGCCGCGUGAGUGAAGAAGGUUUUCGGAUCGUAAAACUCUGUUGUUAGAGAAGAACAAGGAUGAGAGUAAAAUGUCAUCCCGGACGUAUCUACCA
rnacentral:rRNA from 1 species